AACGAACGCUGGCGGCAUGCCUAACACAUGCAAGUCGAACGAGACCUUCGGGUCUAGUGGCGCACGGGUGCGUAACGCGUGGGAACCUGCCCUUAGGUUCGGAAUAACUCCCCGAAAGGGGUGCUAAUACCGGAUAAUGUCUUCGGACCAAAGAUUUAUCGCCUUUGGAUGGGCCCGCGUUGGAUUAGCUAGUUGGUAGGGUAAAAGCCUACCAAGGCGACGAACCAUAGCUGGUCUGAGAGGAUGAUCAGCCACACUGGGACUGAGACACGGCCCAGACUCCUACGGGAGGCAGCAGUGGGGAAUAUUGGACAAUGGGCGAAAGCCUGAUCCAGCAAUGCCGCGUGAGUGAUGAAGGCCUUAGGGUUGUAAAGCUCUUUUACCCGGGAUGAUAAUGACAGUACCGGGAGAAUAAGCUCCGGCUAGCUCCGUG
rnacentral:rRNA from 1 species